rnacentral:rRNA from 1 species
GACGAACGCUGCGGCCUGCCUAAUACAUUCAAGUUGGACCCUGAAGGAGGAGCUUGCUUCUCCGGAUGAGUUGCGAACGGGGGAGUAACGCGUAGGUAACCUGCCUUGUAGCGGGGGAUAACUAUUGGAAACGAUAGCUUAUACCGCAUAAGAGGAGAUGUCGCAUGACAUUUGCUUAAAAAGUGCAACUGCACCACUACCAGGUGGACCUUCGGUGGUUUAGCUAGUUGGUGAGGUAAAGGGCCAACAAGGGCAAGAUACAUAGACGGCCCGUAAGGGUGGUCGGCCAAAAUGGGAAUGGGAACAGGCCCAGACUCCUACGGGAGGCAGCAGUAGGGAAUCUUCGGAAAUGGACGGAAGUCUGACCGAGCAACGCCGCGUGAGUGAAGAAGGUUUUCGGAUCGUAAAGCUAUGUUGUAAGAGAAGAACGAGUGUGAGAGUGGAAAGUUCACACUGUGACGGUAUCUUACCAGAAAGGGACGGCUAACUACGUG